GCCAGUCACAGCUGACUAAUUCGAUCAGUUUAUCCAGUAAAUUCAACAUCUAACAACUGCAAUCCAAGCGGUCCAGACCUUUCUCAUGUCCUUCCAAGCGAUGCCACAGCCUCCUCAAGCUGUCCCUGUACCUCCUACAGUGAUGCAUCACACAGUUCCUUCGACGGUGCCAUCUGUGCCUUCUGUAGUGGUAGCUCCACAG
rnacentral:lncRNA from 1 species